GGUGCUGUCUGUUUUCCCUCUCCCUUGUUUUUGUUUUUGUCAUCUGUCUGCCGUGUGCUGAGUGGGUGUGGUGCUCCUGGUUCUCUCUCCCUCCUCGUCAGGACACCUGUGGCUUCCUACUCACCUGAGGCAUAUCCAGCAAUCACCGCUCCUGUCUUAAACCCCGGCUUUCCAACCAGUCUCUGCCAGAUUGUCCGUUCACCCAAGUGAUUCUUGCUUCAGCCCUGGAAGCCCAGUCUUCCUGCCUGAGCCAAAUUGUAUUUUGUUGGACCUGCCUCUCGCCUGUCUGCCCGCUCUCAGCCCCAGAGGAUUUCAAAGCACCUUCAUUACUUUUUGUGUUCAAUAAACCUCUAUACCUGUUCCAACCUUUU